UUAAGCGACUAAGCGUACACGGUGGAUGCCCUGGCAGUCAGAGGCGAUGAAGGACGUGCUAAUCUGCGAUAAGCGCCGGUAAGGUGAUAUGAACCGUUAUAACCGGCGAUUUCCGAAUGGGGAAACCCAGUGUGAUUCGUCACACUAUCAUUAACUGAAUCCAUAGGUUAAUGAGGCGAACCGGGGGAACUGAAACAUCUAAGUACCCCGAGGAAAAGAAAUCAACCGAGAUUCCCCCAGUAGCGGCGAGCGAACGGGGAGGAGCCCAGAGCCUGAAUCAGCAUGUGUGUUAGUGGAAGCGUCUGGAAAGGCGCGCGAUACAGGGUGACAGCCCCGUACACAAAAGCGCAUGUGUUGUGAGCUCGAUGAGUAGGGCGGGACACGUGGUAUCCUGUCUGAAUAUGGGGGGACCAUCCUCCAAGGCUAAAUACUCCUGACUGACCGAUAGUGAACCAGUACCGUGAGGGAAAGGCGAAAAGAACCCCGGCGAGGGGAGUGAAAAAGAACCUGAAACCGUGUACGUACAAGCAGUGGGAGCACAGGUUUACCUGUGUGACUGCGUACCUUUUGUAUAAUGGGUCAGCGACUUAUAUUCUGUAGCAAGGUUAACCGUAUAGGGGAGCCGCAGGGAAACCGAGUCUUAACCGGGCGUUAAGUUGCAGGGUAUAGACCCGAAACCCGGUGAUCUAGCCAUGGGCAGGUUGAAGGUUGGGUAACACUAACUGGAGGACCGAACCGACUAAUGUUGAAAAAUUAGCGGAUGACCUGUGGCUGGGGGUGAAAGGCCAAUCAAACCGGGAGAUAGCUGGUUCUCCCCGAAAGCUAUUUAGGUAGCGCCUCGUGAAUUCAUCUCCGGGGGUAGAGCACUGUUUCGGCUAGGGGGCCAUCCCGGCUUACCAACCCGAUGCAAACUGCGAAUACCGGAGAAUGUUAUCACGGGAGACACACGGCGGGUGCUAACGUCCGUCGUGAAGAGGGAAACAACCCAGACCGCCAGCUAAGGUCCCAAAGUCAUGGUUAAGUGGGAAACGAUGUGGGAAGGCCCAGACAGCCAGGAUGUUGGCUUAGAAGCAGCCAUCAUUUAAAGAAAGCGUAAUAGCUCACUGGUCGAGUCGGCCUGCGCGGAAGAUGUAACGGGGCUAAACCAUGCACCGAAGCUGCGGCAGCGAACGUAUCACUUAAAGCGAUUCAGCGGGUUACGAUUGACGGAGCGAAGCGACGUCAAAGCGUAUACAAAGUCGAGUCGGUUUAAGGAUACGUUCGUUGGGUAGGGGAGCGUUCUGUAAGCCUGUGAAGGUGGCCUGUGAGGGUUGCUGGAGGUAUCAGAAGUGCGAAUGCUGACAUAAGUAACGAUAAAGCGGGUGAAAAGCCCGCUCGCCGGAAGACCAAGGGUUCCUGUCCAACGUUAAUCGGGGCAGGGUGAGUCGACCCCUAAGGCGAGGCCGAAAGGCGUAGUCGAUGGGAAACGGGUUAAUAUUCCCGUACUUGGUGUUACUGCGAAGGGGGGACGGAGAAGGCUAUGUUGGCCGGGCGACGGUUGUCCCGGUUUAAGCGUGUAGGUGUGUGUUCCAGGUAAAUCCGGUUCACUUUAACACUGAGGCGUGAUGACGAGGCACUACGGUGCUGAAGCAACAAAUGCCCUGCUUCCAGGAAAAGCCUCUAAGCAUCAGGUAACAUCAAAUCGUACCCCAAACCGACACAGGUGGUCAGGUAGAGAAUACCAAGGCGCUUGAGAGAACUCGGGUGAAGGAACUAGGCAAAAUGGUGCCGUAACUUCGGGAGAAGGCACGCUGACAUGUAGGUGAAGUGAUUUACUCAUGGAGCUGAAGUCAGUCGAAGAUACCAGCUGGCUGCAACUGUUUAUUAAAAACACAGCACUGUGCAAACACGAAAGUGGACGUAUACGGUGUGACGCCUGCCCGGUGCCGGAAGGUUAAUUGAUGGGGUCAGCGCAAGCGAAGCUCCUGAUCGAAGCCCCGGUAAACGGCGGCCGUAACUAUAACGGUCCUAAGGUAGCGAAAUUCCUUGUCGGGUAAGUUCCGACCUGCACGAAUGGCGUAAUGAUGGCCAGGCUGUCUCCACCCGAGACUCAGUGAAAUUGAACUCGCUGUGAAGAUGCAGUGUACCCGCGGCAAGACGGAAAGACCCCGUGAACCUUUACUAUAGCUUGACACUGAACAUUGAGCCUUGAUGUGUAGGAUAGGUGGGAGGCUUUGAAGCGUGGACGCCAGUCUGCGUGGAGCCGGCCUUGAAAUACCACCCUUUAAUGUUUGAUGUUCUAACGUGGACCCGUGAUCCGGGUUGCGGACAGUGUCUGGUGGGUAGUUUGACUGGGGCGGUCUCCUCCUAAAGAGUAACGGAGGAGCACGAAGGUUGGCUAAUCCUGGUCGGACAUCAGGAGGUUAGUGCAAUGGCAUAAGCCAGCUUGACUGCGAGCGUGACGGCGCGAGCAGGUGCGAAAGCAGGUCAUAGUGAUCCGGUGGUUCUGAAUGGAAGGGCCAUCGCUCAACGGAUAAAAGGUACUCCGGGGAUAACAGGCUGAUACCGCCCAAGAGUUCAUAUCGACGGCGGUGUUUGGCACCUCGAUGUCGGCUCAUCACAUCCUGGGGCUGAAGUAGGUCCCAAGGGUAUGGCUGUUCGCCAUUUAAAGUGGUACGCGAGCUGGGUUUAGAACGUCGUGAGACAGUUCGGUCCCUAUCUGCCGUGGGCGCUGGAGAACUGAGGGGGGCUGCUCCUAGUACGAGAGGACCGGAGUGGACGCAUCACUGGUGUUCGGGUUGUCAUGCCAAUGGCACUGCCCGGUAGCUAAAUGCGGAAGAGAUAAGUGCUGAAAGCAUCUAAGCACGAAACUUGCCCCGAGAUGAGUUCUCCCUGAGACUUAAAGUCUCCUGAAGGAACGUUGAAGACGACGACGUUGAUAGGCCGGGUGUGUAAGCGCAGCGAUGCGUUGAGCUAACCGGUACUAAUGAACCGUGAGGCUUAACCUU
rnacentral:rRNA from 1 species